UUUAUGGAGAGUUUGAUCCUGGCUCAGGAUGAACGCUGGCGGCGUGCCUAAUACAUGCAAGUCGAGCGAACGGACGAGAAGCUUGCUUCUCUGAUGUUAGCGGCGGACGGGUGAGUAACACGUGGAUAACCUACCCAUAAGACUGGGAUAACUUCGGGAAACCGGAGCUAAUACCGGAUAAUAUUUUGAACCGCAUGGUUCAAAAGUGAAAGACGGUCUUGC
rnacentral:rRNA from 1 species